CAAGCAAGCUGGAAGACAGUGGAAUAUGAAGCUGGACAUGAAACUUAGAGAAAUGGGUUUGAGACCAACAGUGAGUGAACCUUGUAUGUAUCAUAAAUGUGACAAUAAUGGAGCAGACCUAUUUGUCGUUAUCUAUGUUGAUGAUAUAUUAAUUGCUUCACGCAAGAGAGAAACCAUAAAUAAAUUCAAGCAGGAACUGGCAAAGAGGUUUGAACUAAAGGACUUUGGCCAAGCAACCUUUUGUCUAGGGAUCGACAUAAAGAAAAAUGGUAAUGAAUAUCACAUGUCACAGGAGAGAUAUGUAAAGACCAUUUUGAAGAGAUUUAACAUGGAGGACUGUAAUCCUGUACAAACUCCAAUGGAGAUGGGAAAGAUAGCUAUGAGUGGCAAAGAGAAGGAUGAAGGAGGAAAGUCUUUUCCGUUCCGAGAACUCAUAGGGGCACUUAUGUUCUUGAGCGUAGCGACUAGACCAGAUAUCGCGAACGCGACGGCAAAACUCGCACAAUUUUCAGAGAAUCCUCAGGAAACUCAUUGGAGAGCUGCAAAGCGGAUCCUUAGGUACCUAAAAGGUACGAUUACUCAGGGUUUAACAUUUAAACCGAUGGGCGGAGCAGGUAUCUCAUGGGCAUCACAAAAGCAACGCAUCGUUGCGACGUCGACUUGUGAGGCUGAAUUUGUAAGUUUAGCGGAAGCUAUGAAAGAAGCAGUGUAUUUGAAUGGCUUACUGAAGGAACUUGGUCUUCACCAUUGGUCUAAGGUAAGCAUGCAUGCUGAUAACUUGGCUGCUAUCUGUCUAGCUGAAGAUCACGGUGUUUAUCACGCGAAAAGUAAGCACAUCGACAUUAGGCAUUUCUUUAUAAGGGAUGUGCUGCGUGACAAUAAGUCGAUAACUUUAGAACAUUUGGCAACUGAAAAUAUGCUGGCAGAUAUUUUCACCAAACCUUUGCCUCGUAUAAGGCAUCACUUGCUGAGUAAAGGGUUAGGGUUGCGCGUACUCUAGUGCCUUGUAUAAAGCAUGAGUUGAGGGGGUGUGUUGAUGAGCACCUUCAUGCUGUAUAACGUAGAGCUGGCUAGCUGGAACCGCUAUGAUAGAACUGUCAUUUAUAUUCAAAUGUGAUGUUGUUUUUUAGCUGUGUAAUGGCUGUGCCGAACUCUCUAUUGUAAAUAUUCUACGUGUGCUUUGAUACCAAUAUAUUUAUUAUGUUACUACCAA